UAGGGAAUCUUCGGCAAUGGACGAAAGUCUGACCGAGCAACGCCGCGUGAGUGAAGAAGGUUUUCGGAUCGUAAAACUCUGUUGUCAGAGAAGAACAAGGACGUUAGUAACUGAACGUCCCCUGACGGUAUCUAACCAGAAAGCCACGGCUAACUACGUGCCAGCAGCCGCGGUAAUACGUAGGUGGCAAGCGUUGUCCGGAUUUAUUGGGCGUAAAGCGAGCGCAGGCGGUUUCUUAAGUCUGAUGUGAAAGCCCCCGGCUCAACCGGGGAGGGUCAUUGAAAACUGGGAGACUUGAGUGCAGAGGGGGAGAGUAGAAUUCCAUGUGUAGCGGUGAAAUGCGUAGAUAUGUGGGAGAACAGCUGUGGCGAAGGCGGCUCUCUGGUCUGUAACUGACGCUGGGGCGAGAAAGCGUGGGGAGCAAACAGG
rnacentral:rRNA from 1 species